GCCUGGAGAGGAGCCUGCGGCAGAUUAGCUGGUUGGUGAGGUAAUGGCUCACCAAGGCUCCGAUCUGUAGCUGGUCUGAGAGGACGGCCAGCCACACUGGCACUGACACACGGGCCAGACUCCUACGGGAGGCAGCAGUGGGGAAUUUUGGGCAAUGGGCGAAAGCCUG
rnacentral:rRNA from 1 species